rnacentral:rRNA from 1 species
AGAGGGGGACCUUCGGGCCUCUUGCCAUCAGAUGUGCCCAGAUGGGAUUAGCUUGUUGGUGAGGUAACGGCUCACCAAGGCGACGAUCCCUAGCUGGUCUGAGAGGAUGACCAGCCACACUGGAACUGAGACACGGUCCAGACUCCUACGGGAGGCAGCAGUGGGGAAUAUUGCACAAUGGGCGCAAGCCUGAUGCAGCCAUGCCGCGUGUAUGAAGAAGGCCUUCGGGUUGUAAAGUACUUUCAGCGGGGAGGAAGGUGUUGUGGUUAAUAACCGCAGCAAUUGACGUUACCCGCAGAAGAAGCACCGGCUAACUCCGUGCCAGCAGCCGCGGUAAUACGGAGGGUGCAAGCGUUAAUCGGAAUUACUGGGCGUAAAGCGCACGCAGGCGGUCUGUCAAGUCGGAUGUGAAAUCCCCGGGCUCAACCUGGGAACUGCAUUCGAAACUGGCAGGCUUGAGUCUUGUAGAGGGGGGUAGAAUUCCAGGUGUAGCGGUGAAAUGCGUAGAGAUCUGGAGGAAUACCGGUGGCGAAGGCGGCCCCCUGGACAAAGACUGACGCUCAGGUGCGAAAGCGUGGG